GUUGGAAAAGGAUGCUGUGAACUCUGUCAGAUUCGUAAGGAAGCCG
rnacentral:SRP_RNA from 13 species